UUUAAAUACCAGUUCCCGUACGAUCACCGAAGUUAAACAACGUCAAGCUUGGUCAGUCCCUAGAUGGGUAACCGCUUGAGAAUACUAGAUGCUGUA